CACACUAGUUCUAGUACAUACAUACAUGAUACAUCUCUUAUCUCACUUUCCCCUCAUUUCCAUUUAAAAUUGAAAGAAAAGAAAAAUAAAUUUCAAUUCACACCAUUUUUCAUCAUUCACCUUUCACCCCGCCUUUCCCAAUUUCCCGCUUCGUCUUCCCCUUUCUUUUCAAAAAUUUCAACCCUGUAAAUUCAAUUCUCCAACUUCGUAGAAACGAAAUCGCGGUUGCUGUAGUUACAGUGAGCGGAGAGAAUCAGUUGAAGCUUGUAAGAGAAGUCGAAAAUGGACGGCGAUACUGGACGCUGGGCGUUGGAGUUCUUCAUCGGAAAGCGAAUCAUAAACAACACCCUAAUCCAAGAAAUCAUUCGCACAAUCAAGGUUCCUCCCAACCCUAAUUCCUACUUCAUCAAGUCCCUUCUCCUCAGAAUCCUUCAAGAGAGGCUGCAGAUUGAGUCAAUCGAUGAAUCCAUGCUCGAAAUCAUGGAGAUCCUCGAAGAAGUUCUUCGAUCCGAGGGCUCUCCCGUCAGUGCCUCCUUUACCGCCGCCUAUUGUGCGGUGGCGGUGGAAUGCACCCUCAAGUACAUCAAACUGGAAGGAUCUAUUCCUCGUUACUUUGAUUCUGUCAAGACAAUAUGGUGGAAAAGGGUUAUGAACAUGAAACCCUCGCCUGGUGGUGAAAAACGAAGCCUCUUGUUCUCCGACGAGUUGGAUAGGUGGAGAAUUGACAUUGAGGCUUCACUGAAUGAUCCUUGUGUAAGGGAUCGGUUGGCAGCCACCGAGAACACCAGAAGCGUCGCCAUUAACCGGCUCAAGGUUUUUUUCGCAGAGUUGUGGGAAGGCGUGGACCCUUCUUUUCUUGAGCUCGCUGUGGAGAAUGCGGCAACGGAUGCUGCUGAAGAGCAACAGAGAGAAACUCAAGAGGGUAAUCUUCUGCUUGACGACAUCUGCAUUACUAAUGUUGUUGAGGAAAUGGAUCCGUCAACAACUUGUCAGAGCGAUGUUCCACCAACAACUACAAAUGCUCAUGCUCAUGAGAUGACUUACAGGGGGAGACAUCAAAUCGUCCUCAGUUGCCUAGCCCUAAGAGGAAGAGAGUUUCUCCUUUAAAGAAGUAUGAACCAAGAAAUGUUAUAAAAAGGAGAACAACAAGAAAAUGGAGUCAAUUGGAAGAAGAAACUCUAGAGAAAGCAGUAAAUAAGUUUGAUGCAGUGUGAAACUCUUUGUUUCGUCAUGUUCUCUUGUUCAGAUUUGGCAUAGGAAACUGGAAAUUAAUGUUAAAUGCUCACAAAGAUGUAUUUGAAAGGAGAACUGAUGGUGAUUUGAAGGACAAGUGGAGAAACAUGAGGCGGUGUAGAAGCAAAUAAGUAAUUGGUUUUUUGGUCAACAAGACGAAUGAUUUGAAUCAUUAGUUCAAACGUAUAAAUUGUAGUAGAUUGAGCUCAGGUAUGUAGCUUGCAUUAAAUAUUAUGAGGGAGUGUUUUACCUCCCAUAGUGGUUAGUUAAGCUUGAGUAUGUCUUAUAUGUGGUCUUUUAGAAGAAGAAAAAUUAAUGCAGGGGAGACAUAGAUA